GAGAGUGGGGGCCCGAACGCCCACCGUUCCAAGCAGAAAUCAGUGAAGAUGAUCAUCAUUGUGUUGGCAGCGUUCAUGCUCUGCUUCCUCCCUUUCCACCUCACCAGGAGUCUUUACUAUGUUUUUAGAUACCUAAGGCAGGCAAAUCCAGCCCAGAUCAGCUGUAAUUUGCUGGAGGCCUCCAGUGUAGCCUACAAGGUGACCCGACCUUUGGCCAGCGCUAACAGCUGUCUGGACCCCAUCCUUUACUUCCUGGCUGGGCGUGACGCCCGCAGUAACCUCACCAAGAAGAGCACAUUGCCUUCAUCGAAACCAACAAGUGUGAGCCAACGUUUGACUACUCAACUCUGAUCCAAUAAAAAAUGCUAAAGGUUUAGGGGACAAGAACUGUACUUUAUUCCUCCUCUGGUAGAUGUGAGACCCCAUACCUGUGCACUUUUCAAUCUUAAAUGUCCGCCAGUUCAGACUUCUCACGGUUGAAAUCUCCUAAUGAAGAAUCAAAUUUGAAAUUAAAACCAGAUCAACAUUUUGAAAAUCCUACUCGAUUACCAAGUCUUUGUAUAAUAUAUGUAUAAUUUAAGUACUUAGUUUUGCAAAGUUCAGUUGAUCACACUGCAUUCAGAUUUUGGGCGGCACAGUGAUCCAGUGGAUAGCACUGUGGCCUCAUAGCAAGAAGGUCGUGGGUUCCAACCCUGGUCGUCCUGACCUUUCUGUGUGGAGUUUGCAUGUUCUCCCUGCGUGGGUGUGCUCCGAUUUCCCCCACCAUCAAAACAUGUUAGUUCUUCAGUCAGUGCAAUUGACCAGGCACUGAUAAAAGCCUGGAGUUGGUCCCCGGGCGCUGCACAGCGGCUGCCCACUGCUCCAUUGAGGGAUGGGUUAAAGGGCAGAGAAUGAAUUUCGCAAUGUGUACGUGACAAUAAAAGUAUCUUCUUCUUCUUCUAUCAUUAACUAAUAGAAAUGAUCAGAUUUGACCAGAUGUAAAAUAAAUAUCGAAAUUACGUAGUGAAUGCCUUUAAAGGAGUUCUUGAGUUCAUAUUUUUUUGUUAUAUUUGAAAAGCUAUAACGUAUCGAUAUAACUAAACUACAUGGUGCUCCACAACUGUGGUUUUUGUAAAUGAUUCUACUGGACAACAGCUGCACCUGAAGUUUUAAUUGGCACAAGUGGGUUUUCCUCAGCUCUGCUUUCUCUGAUUAACGUUUAAGACAAAGAUGGCAGUGGAGUAGGGUGUGUGUGUGUGUCACUUUGUAUCACAAAAUAUGAAGGAACUUAAAAUGACAUCGUAAUAAAUAUGUAUAGAUUUUGA